rnacentral:rRNA from 1 species
AGAGUUUGAUCCUGGCUCAGGAUGAACGCUGGCGGCGUGCCUAACACAUGCAAGUCGAACGGAGUCCAUUAACGGAAGUUUUCGGAUGGAAGAUAAUGGACUUAGUGGCGGACGGGUGAGUAACGCGUGGGUAACCUGCCUCAUCGAGGGGGAUAACAGAGAGAAAUCACUGCUAAUACCGCAUAAGCGCACACUGCCGCAUGGCAGAGUGUGAAAAGAUUCAUCACGAUGAGAUGGACCCGCGUCUGAUUAGUUAGUUGGCAGGGUAAAGGCCUACCAAGACAGCGAUCAGUAGCCGGACUGAGAGGUUGAACGGCCACAUUGGGACUGAGACACGGCCCAAACUCCUACGGGAGGCAGCAGUGGGGAAUAUUGCACAAUGGGCGGAACCUGAUGCAGCGACGCCGCGUGAGUGAA